AUUGAACGCUGGCGGCAUGCUUUACACAUGCAAGUCGAACGGCAGCGCGGGCUUCGGCCUGGCGGCGAGUGGCGAACGGGUGAGUAAUGCAUCGGGACGUGCCCAGUAGUGGGGGAUAGCCCGGCGAAAGCCGGAUUAAUACCGCAUACGACCUGAGGGUGAAAGCGGGGGACCGAAAGGCCUCGCGCUAUUGGAGCGGCCGAUGUCGGAUUAGCUAGUUGGUGGGGUAAAGGCUUACCAAGGCGACGAUCCGUAGCUGGUCUGAGAGGACGACCAGCCACACUGGGACUGAGACACGGCCCAGACUCCUACGGGAGGCAGCAGUGGGGAAUUUUGGACAAAGGGGGCAACCCUGAUCCAGCCAUGCCGCGUGCGGGAAGAAGGCCUUCGGGUUGUAAACCGCUUUUGUUCGGGAAGAAAUCCUCUGGGCUAAUACCCCGGGGGGAUGACGGUACCGGAAGAAUAAGCACCGGCUAACUACGUG
rnacentral:rRNA from 1 species